ACGGGACCGCACAAGCGGUGGAUGAUGUGGAUUAAUUCGAUGCAACGCGAAAACCUUACUACCCUUGACAUGUCCGGAAUCCCGAAGAGAUUUGGGAGUGCUCGCAAGAGAACCGGAACACAGGUGCUGCAUGGCUGUCGUCAGCUCGUGUCGUGAGAUGUUGGGUUAAGUCCCGCAACGAGCGCAACCCUUGUCAUUAGUUGCCAUCAUUUGGUUGGGCACUCUAAUGAGACUGCCGGUGACAAACCGGAGGAAGGUGGGGAUGACGUCAAGUCCUCAUGGCCCUUAUGGGUAGGGCUUCACACGUCAUACAAUGGUCGGUACAGAGGGUUGCCAACCCGCGAGGGGGAGCUAAUCCCACAAAGCCGAUCGUAGUCCGGAUCGCAGUCUGCAACUCGACUGCGUGAAGUCGGAAUCGCUAGUAAUCGUGGAUCAGCAUGUCACGGUGAAUACGUUCCCGGGUCUU
rnacentral:rRNA from 1 species